GAGGGUUUGAUCCUGGCUCAGAGUGAACGCUGGCGGUAGGCCUAACACAUGCAAGUCGAACGGCAGCACAGGAGAGCUUGCUCUCUGGGUGGCGAGUGGCGGACGGGUGAGGAAUACAUCGGAAUCUACUUUUUCGUGGGGGAUAACGUAGGGAAACUUACGCUAAUACCGCAUACGACCUACGGGUGAAAGCAGGGGAUCUUCGGACCUUGCGCGAUUGAAUGAGCCGAUGUCGGAUUAGCUAGUUGGCGGGGUAAAGGCCCACCAAGGCGACGAUCCGUAGCUGGUCUGAGAGGAUGAUCAGCCACACUGGAACUGAGACACGGUCCAGACUCCUACGGGAGGCAGCAGUGGGGAAUAUUGGACAAUGGGCGCAAGCCUGA
rnacentral:rRNA from 1 species